GGAGAUCUGCAAUCAUUAUUGCGUCGGACCCUGCUGUCUAUUUAAACCCGUCCCCCUCCUUUAGGGGUUUGACUUUGCCUGAGAUUUUUUUUCGGUCCCCUCUUCUUUUUCGAGAGCUUCGUCCUCCUCCAGCAUCCCUCUCGAUCUUAGGUGCCCUUCAGAUCGUCCUCCAUCACCCUCGCUGCCCUUCUGCAUCUCUUGGACCAGCCUAGGUUAGUUCCGAAACCCUUCUUUUUCUUGCUAUUUUUUUAUUUUUUCUCCUUUGUGUUCCGUCCGUUCAAUUUCUCCGCGAGUGCCUUAUUUCUUAUUUUUUUCAAUUUUUUUAGAAUUUUUUGGGGUUUUUACUUGAUUCAAAAUGUCCUCCAACACUUCCUCCUCUAGCAGUUCUAGAAGUUCAUCUGUUCCAGCCCC
rnacentral:lncRNA from 1 species